rnacentral:rRNA from 1 species
UACAGAGGGGGCAAGCGUUUGUUCGGAGUUACUGGGCGUAAAGCGUGCGCAGGCGGUUUUGUAAGUCUGUCGUGAAAGCCCCGGGCUCAACCUGGGAAUUGCGAUGGAGACUGCAAGGCUUGAAUCUGGCAGAGGGGGGUAGAAUUCCACGUGUAGCAGUGAAAUGCGUAGAGAUGUGGAGGAACACCGAUGGCGAAGGCAGCCCCCUGGGCUGAGAUUGACGCUCAGGCACGAAAGCGUGGGGAGCAAACAGG